GUUUCUGCACAUAAAGUUUGCUGGAAAAAAGCUGCAGUCAUUUGUGGAGAUGUUCCCUGCAGCUGCUUUAGCACUACGAUGCCAGAGCUCUGUGACCAACGUGGGCCUUGAACUCACAACCUUGACAUCUACGUUGGGAGGACUUCACUCUCUCCACGAUUUUAUCAUGUUACUUCUACCCUACCACAACUCUGAUGGUUCUUGGAAGAAAAAAGAACUGGGUGCUACCAGACACGUAGCAGGAAGUCCUGACAUACGUCAGAGGAAGUAAAUUUUCAGGAAAAAAGAAAGAAAGAAUGUCUCCUUGCACUGGAAAAUAUACAAGUCCUCUUGGGAUAACAAACAUAAUUCAUUUUCACUCAGGCAACCGGUGAGAUCACUUCCCGGUUGCUGAGCUUAUAGGUUAUUGAAACCACUGGGGUUUUGUUAAAAAUAGCCUUCUAAUAAAUCUGCCCCUUCUUUUAACUAGGAUAAUGGUGAUAACUUUCUUAUGGGUUAUUUCCUUCCUUUUAGGGCAACUUUUAAAA
rnacentral:lncRNA from 1 species